CCCUUAGCUAAAAAAUUAGGUCAUUCGAUCUCCCACCCAAACCGCGCGCGCUCUCGGCCUCUUUGGACUGAUCACCAAAAUCGUGUUCCCUCCCUUGGCUGAAAAAUUAGGUCAUAUUCUCCCACCCAAAAUCGCUCUCAGCCUCUCUGACUCACCAAAAUCGUGUUCCCUCCCUUAGCUAAAAAAUUAGGUCAUUCUCCCACCCAAAAUCGCUCUCAGCCUUUCUCUUACUCACCAUUGCUCUCAGCCUCGUUCUGACUCACUAUCAAUCCCCCUCACACUCAAUCCCGUUCACCCACUAUUUCUCUCCCUUCCAAUUCAAGACCCUUUUGAUUCUUCCUCACCUUUCCAAUUCAAGACUUCUUGAAGUUCUCUUCUCUUUCGUUCUUAAAGCAGUUGGCGGACUCGGCGCUCACCUUCUUCACCCUCUCCAGGACUUCGACUUAGUCCAGUUCAGUCGGCACUCGGCAGUCGUAUUCGAUUCUCCAAAUCUCCAGUUCGUCGCCUCCUCCUCGGCUUCUCCACUUUUGGUUAUGCAUAUCAAGAAAUCACCAGCAAUUUCGGGCAAUAAUUCAAUGAAUUCAAUAUCAAGACAUCACCAGCAAUUUGGGGCAAUGAUUCAAUGAAUUCAAUGACCUUAGGAAAUGGGGAGACUGAAAGUCAUGGAACUUAUUUAGAGGUUUGGUGUUGGAUGGGACAGAGCAGAAGGACAAUGGUGAUGGACUGGUUCAUUUGAAAUCUGACAAUUUGUAUCAUAUCAAAUG
rnacentral:lncRNA from 1 species